GGGGGCAGUCGAUCUCUAUCCUUUGUCUCACAUAAAGCCAAUUGGUCCAGUUGCCUGCUGGCCCUUAUUACCCUCUAUCAAGGCAACUAACAUAGCAGGAGCAAUAAGAUCAUUAGGUUUGAGUUUUCCAUUCUCUGCUGAUAUUCAGGAAUGGAGUCCAAAACCUUCAAAGAUAGUGCAACAACUGGAAAAGAUUGGUGGUUUGUCAUUACCUCAUGGAGUUGUCUCUGGAGCAAAAGAUAAAUCUUCUUUUGUUUCACUCUGUUUGUUAGCCGCAUUGCUUCAACCCUUCUUCCUUCCUUGCCUUUGCAAACAUAUAUGCUGCAACAGGAAGAAAGAAGGUCAGACAAUCUAUGUUACUGGGACCUAAAUGUAAGUGUCACAUACACAUGUAUGUUCUAUUUUUUUAAAGCUUUUGAUAGUACUUGGAAUGUAUUGUGAGUUAAAAAUAAACAUUUCAAUAAAAAUGAAGGAUUAGAAUAACAUAA